rnacentral:rRNA from 1 species
UGGUGGAGUGAUUUGUCUGGUUAAUUCCGAUAACGAACGAGACCUCAGCCUGCUAAUUAGUGAUGCAAAUGAUUACGUCCGCAAGGAGAGGGUUUCUGUAAGCGCAUUGGGUUUGACUUGGUGAUCUUACAGAAAAACUUGUUUUCAUUUGUUAGAGUUUUGAUUUCUUCGGAGUGACGAACUCGAUAAUGACUUCUUAGAGGGACACUUGGUGUUUAACCAGGGGAAGUUUGAGGCAAUAACA